CCAAGGAGUCUAACACGUGCGCGAGUCGUAGGGUUUCCCUCGAAGCCCGGAGGCGCAAUGAAAGUGAACCGUAGGCGGGAUCCCCGUCAAACUCCCACGGGAGCCGGGGCGCACCGCCGGCCCGUCUCGUUCGGUCGGCCACGUCUUAAGCUUUUUUCCCCUUCUCUUUCGGGGGAUGGGGGAAAAGUGUCGGGCGUUGUCGGCGGAGGCGGAGCGAGAGCGUACACGUUAGGACCCGAAAGACGGUGAACUAUUCCCGGACAGGACGAAGCCGGAGGAAACUCCGGUGGAGGUCCGCAGCGAUUCUGACGUGCAAAUCGAUCGUCGGAUCCGGGUAUAGGGGCGAAAGACUAAUCGAACCGUCUA
rnacentral:rRNA from 1 species